GCUCUAGUAGUGUAAGCGGUAACACACUUGUCCGGAAAACGAGUGAUGCGAGUUAGAGCCCCGCUCAUGGUG